rnacentral:rRNA from 1 species
CUGGGCGUAAAGCGUGCGCAGGCGGAUUGUUAAGCAAGACGUGAAAGCCCCGGGCUUAACCUGGGAAUGGCGUUUUGAACUGGCAGUCUAGAGUGCGUCAGAGGGGGGUGGAAUUCCACGUGUAGUAGUGAAAUGCGUAGAGAUGUGGAGGAACACCAAUGGCGAAGGCAGCCCCCUGGGAUGACACUGACGCUCAUGUACGAAAGCGUGGGUAGCAAACAGGAUUAGAUACCCUGGUAGUCCACGCCCUAAACGAUGUCAACUGGUUGUUGGGGGAGUGAAAUCCCUUAGUAACGAAGCUAACGCGUGAAGUUGACCGCCUGGGGAGUACGGUCGCAAGAUCAAAACUCAAAGGAAUUGACGGGGACCCGCACAAGCGGUGGAUGAUGUGGAUUAAUUCGAUGCAACGCGAAAAACCUUACCUACCCUUGACAUGUCCAGGAUCCUACAGAGAUGCGGGAGUGCCCGAAAGGGAAUUGGAACACAGGUGCUGCAUGGCUGUCGUCAGCUCGUGUCGUGAGAUGUUGGGUUAAGUCCCGCAACGAGCGCAACCCUUAUCAUUAGUUGCUACGCAAGGGCACUCUAAUGAGACUGCCGGUGACAAACCGGAGGAAGGUGGGGAUGACGUCAAGUCCUCAUGGCCCUUAUGGGUAGGGCUUCACACGUCAUACAAUGGUCGGUACAGAGGGUUGCCAAGCCGCGAGGUGGAGCCAAUCCCAGAAAGCCGAUCGUAGUCCGGAUUGUUCUCUGCAACUCGAGAGCAU